GUUCUGUUUGUUCUGGGUAACAGUGCCCCCACCCUCACUGUCCUGCCCCCCUCUAGUGAGCAGCUGUCCAGUACAACAACAGCCACACUGACAUGUCUGGCCAACAAGGGCUUCCCCUCAGACUGGACCAUGAGCUGGAAUGUGGACGGGACCAGCCAGAAGCAGGAGGCCAAUCCCGGGGUCCUGGAGAAGGCCGGCCUGUACAGCUGGAGCAGCACCCUGACUCUCACUGCCCAGGAGUGGACCAAGCCAGGAGGUGUGACCUGUGAAGCCCAGCAGAAAUCCCAGACUCCAGUCACCAAGACCUUGAGGAAGGCUGACUGUUCUGGGUAGAACCCCUCAGUGACACACCCCUGUGGAGAGUUCCUCUGCUUUGACACCCCUGCUGAUUCCUCUGCUUUGACUCUGUUCUGAGUUCAGAUGUUCUCUGUCUUAUUGAUCACUGAUAUGUAGACUAACAGUGGGCUUUUCUUGAGUUCAUGUGUCAUUCCUCUCUGUAGACUGAGGUUGUAUGAAGAGAAGACCCAGAUGCAGACCACUUUGAAUAAACAAUAGUUCAAUGUUCCAACAGGGGCAGGCAGUAGACAGGUCAAUGCAGGCAGGGGUCAGAAAACCAGAGGUCGGCAACGGUACCGGAUAGCAGGCAGACUCAGGGUCUGGGUAAGGCAGAGGCAGGCGGGCUCAGAGUCAGGACAGGCAAGGGUCAAAACCAGGAGGGCAAGAAAAGAGAGACUAGAAAAAGCAUGAGCUGAGACACAAAACACUGGUUGACUCAAACAAACAAGAUGAACUAGCAACAGACCAACAGAGAACACAGGUAUAAAUACACAGGGGAUAAUGGGGAAGAAGGGCGACACCUGGAGGGGGGUGGAGACAAUCACAAAGACAGGUGAAACAGAUCAGGAUGUGACAGUAUCAGUGUGAGAUGUGAUGUGUUCUGUUUUAUUACUAUUAGAUACUACAGGAAUGUUUGCUU